GCUAAACGCGAAGAACCUUACCCACCUUUGACAUGUACGGAAUCCUUUAGAGAUAGAGGAGUGCUCGAAAGAGAGCCGUAACACAGGUGCUGCAUGGCUGUCGUCAGCUCGUGUCGUGAGAUGUUGGGUUAAGUCCCGCAACGAGCGCAACCCUUGCCAUUAGUUGCUACGAAAGGGCACUCUAAUGGGACUGCCGGUGACAAACCGGAGGAAGGUGGGGAUGACGUCAAGUCCUCAUGGCCCUUAUAGGUGGGGCUACACACGUCAUACAAUGGCUGGUACAGAGGGUUGCCAACCCGCGAGGGGGUAGCCAAUCCCACAAAGCCAGUCGUAGUCCGGAUCGCAGUCUGCAACUCGACUGCGUGAAGUCGGAAUCGCUAGUAAUCGCGGAUCAGAAUGUCGCGG
rnacentral:rRNA from 1 species